UUAGCAUAUCAAUAAGCGGAGGAAAAGAAACCAACAGGGAUUGCCUCAGUAACGGCGAGUGAAGCGGCAACAGCUCAAAUUUGAAAUCUGGCCCUUUCAGGGUCCGAGUUGUAAUUUGCAGAGGAUGCUUCGGGUUCAGCUCCGGUCUAAGUUCCUUGGAACAGGACGUCAUAGAGGGUGAGAAUCCCGUAUGUGACCGGUUGCCAUGCCCGUGUGAAGUUCCUUCGACGAGUCGAGUUGUUUGGGAAUGCAGCUCAAAAUGGGUGGUAAAUUUCAUCUAAAGCUAAAUAUUGGCCAGAGACCGAUAGCGCACAAGUAGAGUGAUCGAAAGAUGAAAAGCACUUUGGAAAGAGAGUCAAACAGUACGUGAAAUUGUUGAAAGGGAAGCGCUUGCAACCAGACUUGCCUGCAGGUGAUCAGCCGGUAUUCUUACCGGUGCACUUGCCUGCAGUCAGGCCAGCAUCGGUUCGGGCGGCUGGAUAAAGUCCACUGGAAUGUAGCUCCCCUCGGGGAGUGUUAUAGCCAGAGGUGCCAUGCAGCCCGCCCGGACCGAGGACCGCGCUUCGGCUAGGAUGCUGGCGUAAUGGUUGUAAGCGACCCGUCUUGAAACACGGACCAAGGAGUCUAACAUCUAUGCGAGUGUUUGGGUGUCAAACCCAUGCGCGUAAUGAAAGUGAACGGAGGUGGGAACCCUCAAGGGUGCACCAUCGACCGAUCCUGAUGUCUUCGGAUGGAUUUGAGUAGGAGCAUAGCUGUUGGGACCCGAAAGAUGGUGAACUAUGCCUGAAUAGGGUGAAGCCAGAGGAAACUCUGGUGGAGGCUCGCAGCGGUUCUGACGUGCAAAUCGAUCGUCAAAUUUGGGUAUAGGGGCGAAAGACUAAUCGAACCAUCUAGU
rnacentral:rRNA from 1 species